CCUACGGGUGGCAGCAGUGGGGGAUAUUGCACAAUGGGGGAAACCCUGAUGCAGCGACGCCGCGUGAAGGAAGAAGCAUUUCGGUAUGUAAACUUCUAUCAGCAGGGAAGAAAAUGACGGUACCUGACUUAGAAGCCCCGGCUAACUACGUGCCAGCAGCCGCGGUAAUACGUAGGGGGCCAGCGUGAUCCGGAUUUACUGGGUGUAAAGGGAGCGUAGGCGGUUUAGCAAGUCAGAAGUGAAAGCCCGGGGCUCAACUCCGGGACUGCUUUUGAUACGGUUGAACUAGAUUGCAGGAGAGGUAGGCGGAAUUCCUAGUGUAGCGGUGAAAUGCGUAGAUAGUAGGAGGAACACCAGUGGCGAAGGCGGCUUGCUGGACUGUAAAUGACGCUGAGGCUCGAAAGCGUGGGGAGCAAACAGGAUUAGAUACCCUGGUAGUC
rnacentral:rRNA from 1 species